rnacentral:rRNA from 1 species
UACGGGGGAGCAAGCGUUGGUUCGGAUUUACUGGGCGUAAAGGGCGCGUAGGCGGCCCGCGUAAGUCGAACGUGAAAUCCCUGGGCUCAACCCAGGAACUGCGUCCGAUACUGGCAGGCUUGAAUCCGGGAGAGGGAUGCGGAAUUCCAGGUGUAGCGGUGAAAUGACGUAGAUAUCUGGAGGAACACCGGUGGCGAAGGCGGCAUCCUGGACCGGCAUUGACGCUGAGGCGCGAAAGCCAGGGGAGCAAGCGGGAUU